CAUUAUCUCUCUCGCGGUAUAAUUUCUCCCCCCCCUCACUCCCGAUAUGCUGUUGCGCAAAAGCAGACACUGCAGGGAAGAACACAGCAAGUGAAGGCUAGCCACCGGCAUCCCCCCUUUUCUCUGUCUUUGUCCCUCUCUCACUCUCUUAAAGAGAUCUCUGCUUACCCUUCCAUCACCACCCAUCAUCUCCACCGUCUGAGCCAGGUUGGGGUUAGCUAAACUGGGCAUUGGCAAAGGACAAAGAGGUAAGAGGUCAUAGGUGAGAGCGUGACCCCACAGCAGGCGUUCCAUCCCGCCACGCUCCCCUCCUCGUGACCUCAUGUAUCCUGAAUCCAACCAGGACUCGCCGGCGCGCCUCUCCCAUAAACAACAUGCAUCCCCUGGCAUGAUCUACAGUGCUCGGUAUGGGAGCCAUGGAGUCCCAGCAAGCGACAGCUGCAGUACUACAGGUACA